rnacentral:rRNA from 1 species
AGAGUUUGAUCCUGGCUCAGAAUGAACGCUGGCGGCGUGCUUAACACAUGCAAGUCGAACGAGAAAUUUCCCGCUUGCGGGAGAGAGUAAAGUGGCGCACGGGUGAGUAACGCGUGGGUAAUCUACCUCUGAAUCGGGGAUAACAUUGCGAAAGCGAUGCUAAUACCGGAUAAUAUCUUUUAAGCUUCCGCUUAUCAGAUCAAAGGUGGCCUCUACAUGUAAGCUACUGUUUGGAGAUGGGUCCGCGUACCAUUAGCUGGUUGGUGAGGUAACGGCUCACCAAGGCUUCGAUGGUUAGCUGGUCUGAGAGGAUGAUCAGCCACACUGGAACUGACACACGGUCCAGACUCCUACGGGAGGCAGCAGUGAGGAAUUUUGCGCAAUGGGGGAAACCCUGACGCAGCAACGCCGCGUGAGUGAUGAAGGCCUUCGGGUCGUAAAGCUCUGUCAGUAGGGAGGAAAUUGCCCAGUGCUAAUAUCACCGGGCACUGACGGUACCACUGAAGGAAGCACCGGCUAACUCCGUGCCAGCAGCCGCGGUAAUACGGGGGGUGCAAGCGUUAUUCGGAAUUAUUGGGCGUAAAGCGAGUGCAGGCGGUAUUAUAAGUCAGAUGUGAAAGCCCGGGGCUCAACCCCGGAAGUGCAUUUGAAACUGUAAUACUUGAGUAUGGGAGAGGAAAGUGGAAUUCCUGGUGUAGAGGUGAAAUUCGUAGAUAUCAGGAGGAACACCGAUGGCGAAGGCAGCUCUCUGGACAGAUACUGACGCUGAGGCGCGAAGGCGUGGGUAGCGAACAGGAUUAGAUACCCUGGUAGUCCACGCAGUAAACGUUGUUCACUCGGUGUAGCGGAUAUUAAAAUCUGCUGUGCCGCAGCUAAGGCAUUAAGUGUACCGCCUGGGGAGUACGGUCGCAAGACUAAAACUCAAAGGAAUUGACGGGGGCCCGCACAAGCGGUGGAGCAUGUGGUUUAAUUCGACGCAACGCGAAGAACCUUACCUGGGUUUGACAUCCUGUGAAUCUUUGAGAGAUCAAAGAGUGCCUUCGGGGGAACAGAUAGAGAGGUGCUGCAUGGCUGUCGUCAGCUCGUGUCGUGAGAUGUUGGGUUAAGUCCCGCAACGAGCGGAACCCUUGUCGUUAGUUACCAUCGCGUUAUGGCGGGGACUCUAACGAGACUGCCCGGGUUAACCGGGAGGAAGGUGGGGAUGACGUCAAGUCCUCAUGGCCCUUAUGUCCAGGGCUACACACGUGCUACAAUGGUCGGUACCAAAGUGUUGCUAUACCGCGAGGUAAUGCGAAUCACUAAACCAGUUCUUAGUUCGGAUUGGAGUCUGCAACUCGACUCCAUGAAGCCGGAAUCGCUAGUAAUCGUGGAUCAGCAUGCCACGGUGAAUACGUUCCCGGGCCUUGUACACACCGCCCGUCACACCACGAGAGUUGAUUGUACCAGAAGUUGUUGGGCUAACCCUUCGGGGAGGCAGGCACCUAAGGUAUGGCCGAUGAUUGGGGUGAAGUCGUAACAAGGUAACC